ensembl:misc_RNA Metazoa_SRP Metazoan signal recognition particle RNA
ACUGGGUGUGGUGGUGCACACCUGUAGUCCCAGCUACUCGGGAGGCUGAGGUGGGAGGAUUGCUUGAGCCCAGGAGGCGGAGGCUGCAGUGAGCCAUGAUGGUGCCACUGCAUUGCAGCCUGGGCAACAAGGCAAGACCCUGUCUCAA